rnacentral:rRNA from 1 species
AUUGAACGCUGGCGGCAGGCUUAACACAUGCAAGUCGAGCGGGGUGAUGGUGCUUGCACUAUCACUUAGCGGCGGACGGGUGAGUAAUGCUUAGGAAUCUGCCUAUUAGUGGGGGACAACAUCUCGAAAGGGAUGCUAAUACCGCAUACGUCCUACGGGGGAAAGCAGGGGAUCACUUGUGACCUUGCGCUAAUAGAUGAGCCUAAGUCGGAUUAGCUAGUUGGUGGGGUAAAGGCCUACCAAGGCGACGAUCUGUAGCGGGUCUGAGAGGAUGAUCCGCCACACUGGGACUGAGACACGGCCCAGACUCCUACGGGAGGCAGCAGUGGGGAAUAUUGGACAAUGGGGGGAACCCUGAUCCAGCCAUGCCGCGUGUGUGAGGAAGGCCUUAUGGUUGUAAAGCACUUUAAGCGAGGAGGAGGCUCUUUUGGUUAAUACCCAGAAUGAGUGGACGUUACUCGCAGGAUGAGCACCGGCUAACUCUGUGCCAGCCGCCGCCGUAA